GAGGCUAUACUUUCUGGGAUCAUUUGUGUAGUCUGUGACUAGAGAAGGUUCUCGGAACCCGUAGGGCACUGGAAGCCACCAAGAGGAGGUGCAGGGUUCUUUCGUGAGCGUGGAGAUGGCUCUUGGUGUUAUUUUGCUACAACUGCCAUUUGCUGUUGAUGAUCUUUCUCGUCUUCCUUUUGACAGAGCUAGAGGGAGAGGACACAGUCUGAGUGGU